UACGAAGGGGGCUAGCGUUGCUCGGAAUGACUGGGCGUAAAGGGCGCGUAGGCGGAUGGCACAGUCAGAUGUGAAAUUCCCGGGCUUAACCUGGGGGCUGCAUUUGAUACGUGUGAUCUAGAGUGAGGAAGAGGGUCGUGGAAUUCCCAGUGUAGAGGUGAAAUUCGUAGAUAUUGGGAAGAACACCGGUGGCGAAGGCGGCUCUCUGGACCGAUACUGACGCUGAGGCGCGAAAGCGUGGGGAGCGAACAGG
rnacentral:rRNA from 1 species